rnacentral:rRNA from 1 species
UGAAUACGAGAUGCUACGGCGUCGAAGCAGUCUAUGUCAUACUUCCAAGAAAAGCUUGCACUGUCAUAAACAAAUAAUGCCUGUACCAUAACCGACACAGGUGGGUAGGUAGAGUAUACUAAGGGGCGCGAGAUAACUCUCUCUAAGGAACUCGGCAAAAUGACUCCGUAACUUCGGGAGAAGGAGUGCCUUAUUUAUAAGGUUGCAAUAACAAGAUCCAAGCAACUGUUUACCAAAAACACAGGUCUCCGCUAAGUCGUAAGACGAUGUAUGGGGGCUGACGCCUGCCCAGUGCCAGAAGGUUAAAGAAGUUGGUUAGCAUCCGCGAAGCUGAUAACUGAAGCCCUGGUGAACGGCGGCCGUAACGAUAACGGUCCUAAGGUAGCGAAAUUCCUCGUCGGGUAAGUUCCGACCCGCACGAAAGGCGUAAUGAUUUGGAUACUGUCUCGGAGAGGGGCUCGGUGAAAUAGACUUGUCUGUGAAGAUGCGGACUACCUGCACCAGGACAGAAAGACCCUAUGAAGCUUUACUGUAACCUGAAAUUGAAAUUGGACUUUACUUGCGCAGUAUAGGUGGGAGGCGUUGAGAAUAUUCUUGCGGGAUUAUUGGAGCCAUCAGUGAGAUACCACUCUUGUAAUGUUAGAUUUCUAACUUUGUAUCAUUAUCUGGUCAAAGAACAGUUUCAGGCGGGCAGUUUGACUGGGGCGGUCGCCUCCUAAACGGUAACGGAGGCGCACAAAGGUUUCCUCUGAACGGGUAGAAAUCGUAUCUAGAGUGUAAAGGCAUAAGGAAGCUUGACUGUGAGACCUACAAGUCGAGCAGGGACGAAAGUCGGUCUUAGUGAUCUGACGGUGCUGAGUGGAAAGGCCGUCACUCAACGGAUAAAAGUUACUCUAGGAUAACAGGCUGAUCUCCCCCAAGAGUUCACAUCGACGGGGAGGUUUGGCACCUCGAUGUCGGCUCACCGCAUCCUGGGGCGGUAGUACGUCCCAAGGGUUGGGCUGUUCGCCCAUGAAAGCGGUACGCGAGCUGGGUUCAGAACGUCGUGAGACAGUUCGGUCCAUAUCCGGUGUAGGCGUUAGAAUAUUGAGAGGAGCCUUCUUUAGUACGAGAGGACCGAGAAGGACAUACCUCUGGUGUACCAGUUAUCGUGCCAACGGUAAACGCUGGGUAGCUAUGUGUGGAGUGGAUAACCGCUGAAAGCAUCUAAGUGGGAAGCCCACCUCAAGAUAAGUAUUCUCAGC